UACAGAGACUGCAAGCGUUAUUCGGAUUCACUGGGCGUAAAGGGUGCGCAGGCGGCCAGGUGUGUUAGGCGUGAAAGCCCGGGGCUUAACCCCGGAAUUGCACCUAAAACUACUUGGCUAGAGCAUUGGAGAGGGUAGCGGAAUUCACGGUGUAGCAGUGAAAUGCGUAGAUAUCGUGAGGAACACCAGAGGCGAAGGCGGCUGCCUGGACAAUUGCUGACGCUCAGGCACGAAAGCGUGGGGAGCAAAAGGG
rnacentral:rRNA from 1 species